GCAAGUUGAACGAGAAAUUCACUUCGGUGAAUGGAAAGUGGCGAAAGGGUGAGUAACGCGUGAAUAAUCUGCCCCUAAGUUUGGAACAACAGUUGGAAACGACUGCUAAAACCGGAUGUGACUAUCAAGACGCAUGUUUUGAUAUUUAAAGGUUACGCUUAGGGAUGAGUUCGCGUGCCAUUAUGCUAGUUGGUAAGGUAACGGCUUACCAAGGCUAUGACGGCUAGGUGGUCUGAGAGGACGAUC
rnacentral:rRNA from 1 species